rnacentral:misc_RNA from 1 species
GAUGAAGAACGUAGCGAAAUGCGAUAAGUAAUGUGAAUUGCAGAAUUCCGUGAAUCAUCGAAUCUUUGAACGCACAUUGCGCCCGCCAGUAUUCUGGCGGGCAUGCCUGUUCGAGCGUCAUUUCAACCCUCAAGCCCCCGGGCUUGGUGUUGGGGAUCGGCCGCCCUCUCCGGCGCGCCGGCCCCGAAAUCUAGUGGCGGUCUCGCUGUAGCCUCCUCUGCGUAGUAGCACACCUCGCACCGGAACGCAGCCUGGCCACGCCGUUAAACCCCCCACUUCUGAAGGUUGACCUCGGAUCAGGUAGGAAUACCCGCUGAACUUAAGCAUAUCAAUAAGCGGAGGA